CAAUAGCGUAUAUUAAAGUUGUUGCAGUUAAAAAGCUCGUAGUUGGAUUUCUGCUGAGGACGAUCGGUCCGCCCACUGGGUGAGUAUCUGGCUCGGCCUUGGCAUCUUCUUGGAGAACGUUGCUGCACUUGACUGUGUGGCGCGGUAUCCAGGACUUUUACUUUGAGGAAAUUAGAGUGUUUCAAGCAGGCGCACGCCUUGAAUACAUUAGCAUGGAAUAAUGAGAUAGGACCUUGGUUCUAUUUUGUUGGUUUCUAGAGCUGGGGUAAUGAUUAAUAGGGAUAGUUGGGGGCAUUCGUAUUUAACUGUCAGAGGUGAAAUUCUUGGAUUUGUUAAAGGCGGACUACUGCGAAAGCACUUGCCAAGGAUGUUUUCAUUGA
rnacentral:rRNA from 1 species